ensembl:miRNA
UUUAGAGGUGUCUCCCUGAAGUGAUGCAUAACCGAUCAGGAUCUACUCAUGUCAACUUUGGUAAAGUUAUGUUGCUUGUCAGGGUGAGGAGACUUUUUG